GGAUUGUGGCUCAGUGGUAGAGCGCUCGCCUCCCACGUGCGAGUCUCUGGGUUCGAUACUCAGCACCA
rnacentral:tRNA from 1 species